rnacentral:rRNA from 1 species
GCCUAACACAUGCAAGUCGAGCGAGACCUUCGGGUCUAGCGGCGGACGGGUUAGUAACGCGUGGGAACGUGCCCUUCUCUGCGGAAUAGCCACUGGAAACGGUGAGUAAUACCGCAUACGCCCUUCGGGGGAAAGAUUUAUCGGAGAAGGAUCGGCCCGCGUUAGAUUAGAUAGUUGGUGGGGUAAUGGCCUACCAAGUCUACGAUCUAUAGCUGGUUUUAGAGGAUGAUCAGCAACACUGGGACUGAGACACGGCCCAGACUCCUACGGGAGGCAGCAGUGGGGAAUCUUAGACAAUGGGCGCAAGCCUGAUCUAGCCAUGCCGCGUGUGUGAUGAAGGUCUUAGGAUCGUAAAGCACUUUCGCCAGGGAUGAUAAUGACAGUACCUGGUAAAGAAACCCCGGCUAACUCCGUGCCAGCAGCCGCGGUAAUACGGAGGGGGUUAGCGUUGUUCGGAAUUACUGGGCGUAAAGCGUACGUAGGCGGAUCAGAAAGUAAGGGGUGAAAUCCCAGGGCUCAACCCUGGAACUGCCUCUUAAACUCCUGGUCUUGAGUUCGAGAGAGGUGAGUGGAAUUCCAAGUGUAGAGGUGAAAUUCGUAGAUAUUUGGAGGAACACCA